AAAGUCAGUGUGGCCUUCUUGGUAAGGCAU
rnacentral:piRNA from 1 species